rnacentral:rRNA from 1 species
ACGAACGCUGGCGGCGUGCCUUAUGCAUGCAAGUCGAACGGGUUUCCCCGCAAGGGGAAAUCAGUGGCAGACGGCUGAGUAACACGUAAGCAACUAACCCUCGAGUGGGGAAUAAGCCGCCGAAAGGCGGUGUAAUACCGCAUAUGCUUCCUUCCCAUAUGGGGAGUAAGCAAAGCCGAAAGGCGCUUGGGGACGGGCUUGCGGCCUAUCAGGUAGUUGGUGAGGUAAUGGCCCACCAAGCCGAAGACGGGUAACUGGUCUGAGAGGACGGCCAGUCAGAAGGGGACUGAGACACGGCCCCUACUCCUACGGGAGGCAGCAGCAGGGAAUCUUGCACAAUGGGCGAAAGCCUGAUGCAGCGACGCCGCGUGAGGGAUGAAGGCUUUCGGGUCGUAAACCUCUUUUCCAGGGGAAGAAUGAUGACUGUACCUUGGGAAUAAGCCCCGGCUAACUACGU